AACUGCACCUGAAGGCGAUGAUGAUGACAUCGACCUCAGCCCCUGCAUUAACAACUGAGCAACUUCAAACCCUCCUCCUCCAUUUAGUCAUCUUGACAUUUUUUCAAACAUAUGAACAUGGACUGCUUCAGUAUCUGAAAAAACAGAAAUGAUACUGAACACUGCAAUCUUCACCAAAUAUCUCCAAUUCUGAUCUUAUGAUGGAAAAGAGGUAACAACCAGUUGGAAGAUAGCAAGCUAUUCUCACUUACCAUUUGCCUGUAAGCUGCUGCUUCUGUACAAUGGCUAAGAAACUGAACAAUUAGUGUGUCCACUGCCCUUUUUCUCCAGUAAAGAACUGAAAGGACUUGGAAAGGAAAAGGUCAACAACUAGAAAGAAUCAAGACAAAAAUGGCACCUCAUUGAAUCCUUCAGAUUGGUGCUAUUGAACUGUGUCACCCUGAUUUUUUUUUCCUCCACCAAGAACAUGUACAUUCUUUUUGUUCUCCAUGUCUAUCUACAUGUGUGUGUUGGGGUUUAAGAAAGGGUAAAG